UACCGGAUGGCGUCAGGUCGUGGAGCGCGGGGGACAUGCUGCGGAGUCCUCUCCUCCUCGCGCCGGGGACGCGGCGGGGAAGACGCACCCUCCCUCCACACGUGACGGCCCAGAGCCGCGCCAGCCAGCGCGGGGCCAGUGGUUCACAGAAGGCAGGAGUCCGGGGGACACUGAGGGAGGGGCCUCCCCUCAGGACCCGGGCGCGGCGCGGCGACGACAGGCGGACCCCUGGCCCAGACCACUGCUCAAGCACGUGCUUUCUUCUCGGCCACCUGGCCUGUCCUUGGCAAGGGCCUGGCGGCUAGACCCGCGCGACCGGAGGCUGGGUCGCCGGGAGGGCGCGGGAUAGACCCGAAGAGGAGGACGACGUGGCGGCCGAGGCGCGGGCCGAGGCUCACAGCCCCCUAGGGCUUUGGGGCAACUCAGAAUACUGUUAGUUUGUGCGCGCACUCCAGCCUCAGCGUGGGAGGUCCCGCCCUUCAGGCCCGUGAUUGGUCUGUAGGAGCUCGUCGCGGCUCUAUGGGCUGCUAGAUCUCAACCACUCACCUGAGGCUUUGCCCCAGGGGUUUCUGGGAGAUGUAGUCCAGGGUCCCAGGUGCCCCUCUGAGGCUUUGCGCAUCUCAGCCCGGCGCCCGAAAGUGCGGCCGCAGGGGGUCUCCCCAAGUUUAAAUCCUGGUGUGAAGUUGGCGCUGACCUCAACAUGUUGUAUGAUGUCAAGAGCCCGGUACUUGGGAGUCUUGGAAGACCAGAUUGACUAAUUAAUUUUUUGUCGAGAAAACCAAGGAAUGCCAAGGAUUGCUGGCAAACAUCAGAAGCUGGAAGAGACAAGGAAGGAUUCUCCCCUGUAGGGAAGUCUGCAGUGCUGUGGAGAUAACUUCGGAAAGACCUUAAGGUCCCGGGGAAUCCUUGGCUAGGAAUUCUCAUUGACAAAUCACAACCACCUCCAGCUCCCAGCUUAAAAAGAAUGAUGGUUUGUCAGUUGCUUAAGUAUUGAGUUAUUAAGAUGAACCGGUUUGCAGGGCAGAAAUACAGACACAGAUGUAGAGAACAAACAUGUGGACACCAAGGGGGGAAAGUGGUGGUGGUGGGAUGAAUUGGGAGAUUGGGAUUGACAUGUAUACACGGAUGUGUAUAAAAUAGAUAAUAAGAAC